rnacentral:rRNA from 1 species
UCGGGUUGUAAAGCACUUUUGUCCGGAAAGAAAACCUCUUGGUUAAUACCUGAGGGGGCUGACGGUACCGGAAGAAUAAGCACCGGCUAACUACGUGCCAGCAGCGCGGUAAUCGUAGGGUGCGAGCGUUAAUCGGAAUUACUGGGCGUAAAGCGUGCGCAGGCGGUUUGUUAAGACAGAUGUGAAAUCCCCGGGCUUAACCUGGGAACUGCAUUUGUGACUGGCAAGCUAGAGUAUGGCAGAGGGGGGUAGAAUUCCACGUGUAGCAGUGAAAUGCGUAGAGAUGUGGAGGAAUACAGAUGGCGAAGGCAGCCCCCUGGGCCAAUACUGACGCUCAUGCACGAAAGCGUGGGGAGCAAACAGGAUUAGAUACCCUGGUAGUCCACGCCCUAAACGAUGUCAACUAGUUGUUGGGGAUUCAUUUCCUUAGUAACGUAGCUAACGCGUGAAGUUGACCGCCUGGGGAGUACGGUCGCAAGAUUAAAACUCAAAGGAAUUGACGGGGACCCGCACAAGCGGUGGAUGAUGUGGAUUAAUUCGAUGCAACGCGAAAAACCUUACCUACCCUUGACAUGGACGGAACCUGGCUG